rnacentral:rRNA from 1 species
UGAGUAACCUGCCCCAAACUUUGGGAUAACCCUCGGAAACGGGGGCUAAUACCGGAUACGACUUUCGGCUGCAUGGCUGAGGGUGGAAAGUUUUUCGGUUUGGGAUGGGCUCGCGGCCUAUCAGCUUGUUGGUGGGGUGAUGGCCUACCAAGGCGACGACGGGUAGCCGGCCUGAGAGGGCGACCGGCCACACUGGGACUGAGACACGGCCCAGACUCCUACGGGAGGCAG